rnacentral:misc_RNA from 1 species
GAUGGAAGAACGUAGUGAAAUGCGAUAAGUAAUGUGAAUUGCAGAAUCUCGUGAAUCAUUGAAUCUUUGAACGCACAUUGCGCCCUAUGGUAUUCCGUAGGGCAUGCCUGUCUGAGCGUCAGCUCGUCUUCUCAAGCUCUUUUGCUUGGAUAACAUUAAGGAAGCAUGUUCUUGCAACUUGCUCCUUAGAAAUACAUAGGCGGUACGGUUCUAGCAAACCAGACGUAAUAAAUAUUCUUUUAUAUAUUCGUCCUUUGUUAUAGUGCUGUUGCUUGCCUCUUAAUCCACAUCUUUAUUCAAGAUGACCUCAGAUCAGGUAGGGAUACCCGCUGAACUUAAGCAUAUCAAUAAGCGGAGGA